GCACCAACCUAAUAUAUGCAAGAAAAGUCAAGUCACUGGGUUCUCUAUUUUAACAUAGAGUGUACAGAGUGCAGUUGUGGAAUGGAAUGAAACAUGACCUAACAAGGCACUGACUACAUACCUUCUUAUGCUUUCGAAACAAAGGGUCAAAGGGUAGAGCACGGUGAUAAAAUCUGCACCUCUGCCUGCUCCUGCCGUUAAUUCUACCUCCCAUUUCAGGAAGAGAAUGUGGGGCUGAGAAAAGUUAUCUAUUGCUCAAUUGGACCUCUCCAGUUUCUGUGAGACAAUGUCCUGUAAGUACAUCGCAUUAUCAUCCACUCAUUAUGCUAAAGUCUCUAUCAUGCCUGCCUUGAGUUACAUUUCGAAAGGUCCCCUGCUGUGACCUUAGCCAUGUGACUUGGUGAGGUAGUUAAGGGGUUCUGCCUGUGGCAGAUACUAGGCUGUUCUAUGCACCUUGGGAGAAGAAAGAGAAUCACUGCUCCAUGCAACUAUUCAAAGACCCAAGCUUCUUCCAUCACAUGAUUCUACCAUCUUUUAGGAAUUUGUCUUUUUUUGCAUUUAACCAGAGUAGGAAAAGGAUGAGGAGAGGAGACAGAGAGGAUUGUGUGGGGGACAUUUUAUAGGUCAGGCCUGGAGAUGACAGCGUGACUUCCAUCUGUUUUGUUGUCCAACUGAGCCAUGUGGCCAUAUUUAACUGCAAAAGAGUUUGGGAGAUGUGGUCUAACUGCAGAUCUAGAUAAAGAAGAAACAGAUUUAUUGAACAUGUGGGCAGACUGCCACAACUGGGGACAAAUUAAGUGACAGGCAUGCCUUACUCAGAAUUACUUUUCCCAGUUGACCAUAGAGGCUAUGUUACUGUUGGGAAAAAAAACAAAACAAACAAAAAAACUCCCUGUGGAUAGCAUCUUCUGAGAAGAGGCACUGACAACACUCUGGGUUAUCUUUUCAUGGAUGUUUAUAUUACAAACGGCAUUGGAAGAUGGAAAUAGUGUCUCCCUUUGGAGCAGAGGGCAGUUUGGUGUCCAGGUUAACAAAGAUAUUAUCUCUCUCUGGGAAAAAGUUUAGACAGGUUUGCUUACAAACCUUGUUUAGAUUGAAGUUUCCUAAGUUUGAGGUUUCUUAGGUGUGACCCUAAACCAUAAUAUGCUCAGCAUCCAUGUGCGCCCAGCCCUUGCCCCACAAUCCUUGGUAGGCAAGAAGAACCAACAGAAACAUAAAACCUAUGCUGCCUGCUGUGGUACCAGUCACAAAAUCCUUUUCUUUUGCCUAGACAUUCUGUGUCUUCUGGAAGCACACAUGAAACAGUGCCAGGCUAACCUGUUAGCUUGCAAGUAAAGCCUCAGACCCAUUACAGUUUUUGAGAGUUACCAGUUCAAGUUUAUCAUGGUCAGCAUUUAGUAAAUGUCUCUGGCUAGCCAAACAUUUUUAGCUUUCCAGGAUCCCAAGUAGCAGGCUUAAACUGACAUUUCAUCUUUGGUUAAAUGAAAUAAGUGAUAACAGUGUAAAUUUUGUAGCCCCCAGGCAUAUGUAACAUAAUACCAAGGCCUCCACAUUGUACAACUCCGGGUGCUCUGUUCAUAUCAUAGUCUAUGAAUAUGAAAUAUAGCUGCUCUAACUAUUAUAAGAUUUCAUCAUAUCUAACACCCUUAAUAGUAGAACACACCUUUACUUUAG
rnacentral:lncRNA from 1 species